UCGAACGAUGAAGCCCUUCGGGGUGGAUUAGUGGCGAACGGGUGAGUAACACGUGGGCAAUCUGCCCUUCACUCUGGGACAAGCCCUGGAAACGGGGUCUAAUACCGGAUAACACUCUUACAGGCAUCUGUGGGGGUUGAAAGCUCCGGCGGUGAAGGAUGAGCCCGCGGCCUAUCAGCUUGUUGGUGAGGUAGAAGCUCACCAAGGCGACGACGGGUAGCCGGCCUGAGAGGGCGACCGGCCACACUGGGACUGAGACACGGCCCAGACUCCUACGGGAGGCAGCAGUGGGGAAUAUUGCACAAUGGGCGAAAGCCUGAUGCAGCGACGCCGCGUGAGGGAUGACGGCCUUCGGGUUGUAAACCUCUUUCAGCAGGGAAGAAGCGAAAGUGACGGUACCUGCAGAAGAAGCGCCGGCUAACUACGUGCCAGCAGCCGCGGUAAUACGUAGGGCGCAAGCGUUGUCCGGAAUUAUUGGGCGUAAAGAGCUCGUAGGCGGUCUGUCACGUCGGAUGUGAAAGCCCGGGGCUUAACCCCGGGUCUGCAUUCGAUACGGGCAGACUAGAGUGUGGUAGGGGAGAUCGGAAUUCCUGGUGUAGCGGUGAAAUGCGCAGAUAUCAGGAGGAACACCGGUGGCGAAGGCGGAUCUCUGGGCCAUUACUGACGCUGAGGAGCGAAAGCGUGGGGAGCGAACAGGAU
rnacentral:rRNA from 1 species